rnacentral:sRNA from 1 species
GUCGCCCUCAACAGGUGAGCCAGGCCGUGGGAGGGCGCCCCCGAGACUGCCACCUGCUCACCACCCCCCUCUGCUCGUAGGUCUCUGGCCAUCACCCUCCCAGAGCCUAACGGCAGUGCAACGGGGCUCACAGUCUGGCUGCACGGGCUCACCGCUAGUGUGCUCCCGGGGCUGCUGCGGCAGGCCGAUCCCCAGCACGUCAUCGAGUACUCGCUGGCCCUGGUCACCGUGCUGAACGAGCCCCCGCCCAGGAGGGCCCAUGUGCUUACCCUGUUUUGCCCAUGAAGAGACAGCUCAGUGUUGCGGGUCAGUGCCCACAUCACACAGCAUCUAGCACGUAACUGCACCCCGGGAGUCGUGGGCAUCCGCUGGCCUCCUGCCGGCCUCCUGCCCUGCUGACAGCUUGCUGUGCCCCCUGCCUGCCCCAGUACGAGCAGGCCCUGGACGUGGCGGCAGAGCCCAAGCACGAGCGGCAGCGCCGAGCCCAGAUACGCAAGAACAUCACGGAGACUCUGGUGUCCCUGCGGGUCCACACUGUGGAUGACA